GACGAACGCUGGCGGCGUGCUUAACACAUGCAAGUCGAACGGAAAGGCCCUGCUUUUGUGGGGUGCUCGAGUGGCGAACGGGUGAGUAACACGUGAGUAACCUGCCCUUGACUUUGGGAUAACUUCAGGAAACUGGGGCUAAUACCGGAUAGGAGCUCCUGCUGCAUGGUGGGGGUUGGAAAGUUUCGGCGGUUGGGGAUGGACUCGCGGCUUAUCAGCUUGUUGGUGGGGUAGUGGCUUACCAAGGCUUUGACGGGUAGCCGGCCUGAGAGGGUGACCGGCCACAUUGGGACUGGGAUACGGCCCAGACUCCUACGGGAGGCAGCAGUGGGGAAUAUUGCACAAUGGGCGGAAGCCUGAGGCAGCAACGCCGCGUGCGGGAGGACGGCCUUCGGGUGGUAAACCGCUUUCGCCUGUGACGAAGCGGGAGUGACGGUAAUGGGUAAAGAAGCACCGGCUAACUACGUG
rnacentral:rRNA from 1 species